UUAACUAUUAUAUAGUACUCAGACGACAUUUAAAAUAAGAGUUUUGGGUCCUCUGGCGAGCGCUGACCAGCUAAAGCCAGUGGUCCGAAGACGGGCUCGCCAAAGCAACAAAGGUAUGUAAACAAAGGGUGGGAGAUUUACCCCGAAGGGCAAGUUCUCUGUAAUGAUCCUUCCGCAGCGGUUAUAUAGCUACUAGUAAUAGUAACCCCCCGAUCAUAUCUUAACCCAUAAUUCGGGCCACCUCUAUUUGAUCUGUGAGCCUAUUUCUAGGCUGCUGGUAUCACUAAAAGUGAAUCCCAGCACAGUGGAGAUGUUGCCUGCUACAGCAGACUUUAAUUCCGGCGAACCUACGAAAAGGCUGUUCACCUACGGAAA
rnacentral:misc_RNA from 1 species